CCAUCGAUCCUCCCAAAACGAUAUAGUUUCCCAUUGCCCACCUUAAUUCUGACCAAACUUCAGAACACCUCAGCCAUCAUCCUUCAUCAUUGGCAAACCUUGCCACGAUCUGCUCUGAUCCGUCCUUCUCAACCAUUCCCAUCUCGUCUGCAAGGUGAUGGUAGAUUUUUCACUCCAAGCCUUCCAAAGCAAAAGGGUUUGCAAAUCACUUGUCAAGCUACUAGGCAUUGUCCUCCAUUGAUAGUAUAUUUACCUGCCCAGAAAAAGGCUCGUGCCCACUUGUCCACCUCCAAUGCCCACACAGGCAUAAUGACAUUUUCUAGGCAAUGAUAUUUUGAAAAUGAUUUGGUUACUUCAAACUUUUUUCUUGUGCGAGAUUGAGCAUUUUGUAUGCACAAGUUUUUUUUUAAAUACUCUGUUCCAAAAUGUAUAAAUGGUAUCGUUGCGUUCGUCUUGCAAAUCUCUCUUAUUUCAUAUAUAUUUAUGCAAAUUUUGUAGACAUAUUAUCGGUAUAAAUCAUAGUCAAAGUUAUAAGUUGUUGACCAGUGGAAUUUAAGGGCGCCUUGUAUUUUGGAAAGGAGGGAGUAUCUAUCUUAUUUAUCAAUGUUUUCCUUUGGUUUGUGGAGUUUAUUUCGGUACUGAACAUAAUUGUUAGUGAGUUAUACUGAGGUGAGCAAUCAUGUAUGUUUCUUGUCAGCACACAUGUGUCCUAUUUGGGUAUCUCUCCAACUUGAGAAGAUACAAUUUUCAUAUCCAGCAGUUUUUAUCUGUUGGCAGUGAAUUAUAACUUCUUCCUUCAAGGAUAAUUUUAAGUCAUAUUUCCUUCAAAUGAGAUCACCACAUCCUUGAACGAAAAGUCGCCAUUGAGGGUUUCAACUAGCAAUAGCCCUUCAGUGAAGGUGAAUGAACUGACAGCAAAUUGCACACACUAAUUUCCUUUCUAUUUGGGCCGAAACAAAUGCAUAUUGUGGAAGUCUUUUUUUUGGUACGUUAUAGUCUAUGAUCAUACUUGCAUGGGCCAAUGGAUGAAUCUGCUCUGUUUUGAAGACCAAGGGCUUCUUAUUGUAGUGUUGCCAGUGUAAUAAUGAUGCAGCUGUCAGUAUGCUGAACAGGAAAGCUAGUGUUAACAUUGUUUUAAGUUCUAAAAUGGUACUUUUUCACUGGCAUACUGGCGGUAGAUGACUGAGGGUUUCCACACAAAAGAAGUGUCUACAUUGGCUAGUUUUAGACCUCAAACACUAGGCUAUCUGCUAGCAAGCAGUACCAGAGAAUACUUAGGUACAUCGAGUAUGUGCCUGAGCAGUAUGAUCAUUGUCCCUUUUCAUGAAGAAAGUAAGAAACAGCAUGACCAUUGUAGGUCUCAUUCAGGUUGAGCAACUUCAGGAGCGGCAAAGGUUUUCCGAGUAACCAGUACGUCAUUUUGCUCCCCCAUCACCUAUUAGUAAUCUAUUACUAUAUAUGACUUUUGUGGAUGAUUACUCUUGCACAAUGUUAUUGCUGCUAACAUGAUUUUUUUGUAAGUAUAUAACUACAAAAUGUAUGAUAUGUCUGAUCUACACAGUAGUUGGAAAAUGCAAGACAAUUCUUUUCGACUUUCACAUCUUGGUUGCCCAAGAUAUGGCUACAGGUGCUAAGAGUUUGACGCUGAAUCUCUAAAACAGAUGAGCACCUCUGUCCUGUAUGUACUUUGCAUGUGCUAUUUGGUUCACUUCGCUUAUGGGUUGCUAAUGCCUUACUGAUCAAUAUGACUCCCCUCUGCCACAUGUUCAAAUUGUCCAACCAUACACAGGCUGUUCGACUUUCUGUUCUCACAAAUUGUACGCCACCUCUUUCUUCAGUACUCUUAGGUUCUUUUGGAAGGGGGAAUGAUGACCAGUUGGCCAUCACUUACAAGAAAGGAUGGUAUAUAUCUUGUUCGGCAGAAGCAUAGCAUUGCAGGUGGCUGAAGAGCAGUAUAAACACCGAUAUCAGUGACUUGGACUUCGUACAUUUAAGCGUAUUGAUCGUAAGUUUGUACUGGAGCUUCCCGCAGGCUGCUUUCUCAGAUGGACUAUGUUUCAUGUAUGCUCCCUGGAUAAAAAUGAAGCUGCAGGCACCUACAAACUCUGAAGAUCUAUGCCACGUGUCUGCUCAUUUCAUUUUUUCUGGCAAUGAUGUGUUAAGCAACUAGAAGCAAUUACUUGGGGCAAAAUGUUCAUGCCCCCAUACGAUGUCCGCGCGACCACGCAUUGAGGUUGUCGGGAUCCCCAAAGUUCAUUUUAGCAAUUUCAGGAGCGGCAAAGGUUUUCCGAGUAACCAGUACGUCAUUUUGCUCCCCCAUCACCUAUUAGUGAUCUAUUACUAUAUAUGACUUGUGUGGAUGAUUACUCUUGCACAAUGUUAUUGCUGCUAACAUGAUUUUUUUGCAAGUAUAUAACUACAAAAUGUAUGAUAUGUCCGGUCUACACAGUAGUUAGAAAAUGUAAGACAAUUCUUUCCGACUUUCACAUCUUGGUUGCCCAAGAUACCGCUACAGGUGCUAAGAGUUUGAUGCAGAAUCUCUAAAACAGAUGAGCACCUGUGUCCUGUAUGUACUUUUGCAUGUGCUACUUGGUUCAUUUCGCUUAUGGGGUGCUUAUGCCUUACUGAUCAACCUGACUCCCCUCUGCCACAUGUUCAAAUUGUCCAACUAUACACAGACUGUUCAACUGUCUGUUCACACAAAUUGUAUGCCACCUCUUUCUUCAGUAUUCUUAGGUUAUUUUGGAAGGGCGGAUAAUUACCAGUUGGCCAUUACUUACAAGAAAGGAUGGUAUAUAUCUUGUUCUGCAGAAGCAUAGCAUUGCAGGUUGCUGAAGAGCAGUAUAAACACCGAUAUCGAUGACUUGGACUUCGUACAUUGAAGCGUAUUUAUCGUAAGUUUGUACUUGAGCUUCCCGCAGGCUGCUUUUGCAGAUGUACUAUGCUUCAUGUAUUCUCCCUGGAUAAGCAUGAAGCUGCAGGCACCUACAAACCAUGAAGAUCUAUGUCACGUGGCUGCUCAUUGCAAUCUUCUCUUUGUUCUUUUUCUCAAAAAGGAAGACUGCAAAAGUCAUUAUUCUGAAGCUGUAGCUUGUCUUUCUUGCAGUUCAUUUUUUGUGGCAAUGAAGUGUUAAGCAACUAGAAGCAAUUACUUGGGGCAAAAUGUUCAUGCUAGACUUUUUUUUUCCUACCAUCUUCAGCCUUUAUGGCUCAUGCUUUCACAUCACAUCGAUGUGAUUCAGAAGUGUUGCAGUAUGUUGAACAGAAUGUACAGGCAAUUUGAAGUUUGACAUGGUUUGAACAGCAGAUGUAUACUCUCUGUAAUUCUGUACCUUGAUUCUUGGGGAAAAAACAUAAACUGCCUUGGUUAUCA